AUUGAACGCUGGCGGCAGGCCUAACACAUGCAAGUCGAGCGGAUGAGGGAAGCUUGCUUCCCGAUUUAGCGGCGGACGGGUGAGUAAUGCCUAGGAAUCUGCCUAUUAGUGGGGGAUAACGUUCCGAAAGGAGCGCUAAUACCGCAUACGUCCUACGGGAGAAAGUGGGGGAUCUUCGGACCUCACGCUAAUAGAUGAGCCUAGGUCGGAUUAGCUAGUUGGUAGGGUAAAGGCCUACCAAGGCAACGAUCCAUAGCUGGUCUGAGAGGAUGAUCAGCCACACUGGGACUGAGACACGGCCCAGACUCCUACGGGAGGCAGCAGUGGGGAAUAUUGGACAAUGGGCGAAAGCCUGAUCCAGCAACGCCGUGUGUGUGAAGAAGGCCUUCGGGUUGUAAAGCACUUUUAGUGGGGAAGAAAAGUUCGUGGCUAAUAUCCAUGUAUGCUGACGUUACCCACAGAAAAAGCACUGGCUAACUCUGUGCCAGCAGCCGCCGUAAAAC
rnacentral:rRNA from 1 species